GCCUGGCUGGCUCAGUCCGUAAAGCAUGCGACUCUUGAUCUCGAAGUUGUGAGUUUGAGCCUCACGUUGGGUG
rfam:Felis catus isolate Cinnamon breed Abyssinian chromosome B4, whole genome shotgun sequence.